UACGUAGGUGGCAAGCGUUGUCCGGAUUUACUGGGCGUAAAGAGCGCGCAGGCGGUCGUUCAAGUCGCGUGUGAAAGCCCCCGGCUCAACUGGGGAGGGUCACGCGAUACUGAUCGACUCGAAGGCAGGAGAGGGAAGUGGAAUUCCCGGUGUAGUGGUGAAAUGCGUAGAUAUCGGGAGGAACACCAGUGGCGAAGGCGGGUCUCUGGGCCGAUACUGACGCUGAGGAGCGAAAGCGUGGGGAGCGAACAGG
rnacentral:rRNA from 1 species